rnacentral:snRNA from 1 species
AAACUUAUGUCAUGCCGGGGCCUCAUGGAUCACUGAGGAAGAGCCCCAGGGCGAAUAGCUGACAUUGAACUGCGCUUGUGUUGACCCCAGCCACUACCCCGAACUGGGGCAGAUGGGGCAUGCAAAUUGCC